GUGUUCGAGAGUGUCAAGAAAUAAAUAUGUAUUGCACAAGGCAGUGUGGGACUGAGCAGCACAGAAAAGCACUUCACCCAAGGGAGCUGAGGAGGGUAUGGGCAAAAUUUAAUUGCAAGUCUUACCAGGAAAUAGAAAAAUCAGCAAAUACCAGCCACAAACAUGAAUUCUAUUUACCUGUACACUGUUUGGCUUUACUUUAAGAAAAAUAAUAUAGUUUUCUUUACACAUAGUAUUAAU